GACGAACGCUGGCGGCGGGCCUAACACAUGCAAGUCGAGCGAGCGGCGGACGGGUGAGUAAUGUAUGGGGACUGCCCGAUAGAGGGGGAUAACUACUGGAAACGGUGGCUAAUACCGCAUACUACAGGAUAACCCAUAUGGGAUUAGCUAGUAGGUGGGGUAAAGGCUCACCUUGGCGACGAUCUCUAUCUGGUCUGCGAGGAUGAUCGGCCACCCUGGAACUUAGACCCGGCCCAGACUCCUACGGAGGCAGCAGUGGGAAAUAUUGCACAAUGGGCGCAAGCUUGAUGCAGCCAUGCCGCGUGUAUGAAGAAGGCUUUAGGGUUGUAAAGUACUUUCAGCGGGGAGGCGUUACCCGCAGAAGAAGCACCGGCUAACUCCGUGCCAGCAGCCGCGGUAAUUC
rnacentral:rRNA from 1 species